GGAAUAUUGGACAAUGGGGGCAACCCUGAUCCAGCAAUGCCGCGUGAGUGAAGAAGGCCUUAGGGUUGUAAAGCUCUUUCGACGGGGACGAUGAUGACGGUACCCGGCGAAGAAGCACCGGCUAACUCCGUGCCAGCAGCCGCGGUAAGCCGGAGGGUGCUAGCGUUGUUCGGAAGCACUGGGCGUAAAGGGCGCGUAGGCGGCCUUUGGUGUCGGAUGGGAAAGCCCGGGGCUCAACUCCGGAGGUGCAUCCGAAACUCGAAGGCUGGAGGCCGGAAGAGGAGGGUGGAAUACCCAGUGUAGAGGUGAAAUUCGUAGAUAUUGGGUGGAACACCGGUGGCGAAAGCGGCUCUCUGGUCCGGUCCUGACGCUGAGGCGCGAAAGCGUGGGGAGCAA
rnacentral:rRNA from 1 species